rnacentral:rRNA from 1 species
UGCGUAGGUGGGUUGGUAAGUCCGUGGUGAAAUCUCCGAGCUUAACUCGGAAACUGCCGUGGAUACUAUCAAUCUUGAAUGUCGUGGAGGUAAGCGGAAUAUGUCAUGUAGCGGUGAAAUGCUUAGAUAUGACAUAGAACACCGAUAGCGGAGGCAGCUUACUACGCGAUAAUUGACACUGAGGCACGAAAGCGUGGGGAUCAAACA